AGCGAGCUGGUGUAAUGGAAGCACGCCUGUUAGGACGGUACCUUACCUCUCUUUCGGGGUAGGCCCUCACGGGCUCGCAGGUAUCCGGGUUCGACUCCCGGGCUCGCAA